CCUGGCUCAGAUUGAACGCUGGCGGUAGGCCUAACACAUGCAAGUCGAGCGAGAACACCUUCGGGUGUGAUUAGAGCGGCGGACGGGUGAGUAACGCGUGGGAAUCUACCCAGUAGCGGGGGAUAACUUGUGGAAACGCAAGCUAAUACCGCAUACGCCCUAAGGGGGAAAGUAGGGGAUCUUCGGACCUUACACUAUUGGAUGAGCCCGCGUCGGAUUAGCUAGUUGGUGGGGUAAAGGCCCACCAAGGCAACGAUCCGUAGCUGGUCUGAGAGGAUGAUCAGCCACACUGGGACUGAGACACGGCCCAGACUCCUAUGGGAGGCAGCAGUGGGGAAUAUUGGAUAAUGGGGCAAGCCUGAUCCAGCCAUACCGCGUGUGUGAAGAAGGCUCUAGGGUUGUCAAGCACUUUAAGUUGGGAGGAAAGGGUAAUGGUUAAUACUCAUUAUCUGUGACGUUACCAACAGAAUAAGCACCGGCUAACUCCGUGCCAGCAGCCGCGGUAAAGCGUUAAUCGGAAUUACUGGGCGUAAAGCGCGCGUAGGCGGUUUGUUAAGCUAGCUGUGAAAGCCCCGGGCUCAACCUGGGAAUUGCAGCUAGAACUGAUAGGCUAGAGUACAGCAGAGGAUAGGGGAAUUUCAGGUGUAGCGGUGAAAUGCGUAGAGAUCUGAAGGAAUACCAGUGGUGAAGGCGGCCCCCUGGAUUGAUACUGACACUGAGGUGCGAAAGCGUGGGGAGUAAACAGGAUUAGAUACCCUGGUAGUCCACGCCGUAAACGAUGUCUACUAGCCGUUGGGAUCCUUGAGGUCUUAGUGGCGCAGCUAACGCAAUAAGUAGACCGCCUGGGGAGUACGGUCGCAAGAUUAAAACUCAAAUGAAUUGACGGGGGCCCGCACAAGCGGUGGAGCAUGUGGUUUAAUUCGAUGCAACGCGAAGAACCUUACCAGGUCUUGACAUCCUGCGAAUUUUCUAGAGAUAGAUUAGUGCCUUCGGGAACGCAGUGACAGGUGCUGUAUGGCUGUCGUCAGCUCGUGUUGUGAAAUGUUGGGUUAAGUCCCGUAACGAGCGCAACCCUUGUCCUUAUUUGCCAGCACGUAAUGGUGGGGACUUGGGAGACUGCCGGUGACAAACCGGAGGAAGGUGGGGACGACGUCAAGUCAUCAUGGCCCUUACGGACCUGGGCUACACACGUGCUACAAUGGCCGGUACAGAGGGUUGCCAAACCGCGAGGUGGAGCUAAUCCCAUAAAACCGGUCGGUAGUCCGGAUUGGAGUCUGCAACUCGACUCCCAUGAAGUCGGAAUCGCUAGUAAUCGUGAAUCAGAAUGUCACGGUGAAUACGUUCCCGGGCCUUGUACACACCGCCCGUCACACCAUGGGAGUGGAUUGCUCCAGAAGUGGCUAGUCUAACCUUCGGGGGGACGGUCACCACUUUGUGGUUCAUGACUGGGGUGAAGUCGUAACA
rnacentral:rRNA from 1 species